rnacentral:rRNA from 1 species
GACGAACGCUGGCGGCGUGCUUAAUACAUGCAAGUCGAGCGAAUGGAUUAAGAGCUUGCUCUUAUGAAGUUAGCGGCGGACGGGUGAGUAACACGUGGGUAACCUGCCCAUAAGACUAGGAUAACUCCGGGAAACCGGGGCUAAUACCGGAUAACAUUUUGAACCGCAUGGUGCGAAAUUGAAAGGCGGCUUCGGCUGGCACUUAUGGAUGGACCCGCGUCGCAUUAGCUAGUUGGUGAGGUAACGGCUCACCAAGGCAACGAUGGGUAGCCGACCUGAGAGGGUGAUCGGCCACACUGGGACUGAGACACGGCCCAGACUCCUACGGGAGGCAGCAGUAGGGAAUCUUCCGCAAUGGACGAAAGUCUGACGGAGCAACGCCGCGUGAGUGAUGAAGGCUUUCGGGUCGUAAAACUCUGUUGUUAGGGAAGAACAAGUGCUAGUUGAAUAAGCUGGCACCUUGACGGUACCUAACCAGAAAGCCACGGCUAACUACGUGCCAGCCGCCGCCGUAA